AGAACCUUGAUCUCCCGGCUCCGACUCCAGCGUUCUUUCAACCAAAAUGCAGUGGAAGUAUUCAGAGACGCCACCUAGGAGGUCCCAUCAGCCAAGGAAAUGAGGCCAACUCUAAAGAUCCACCUAUGAACAAGAUAAGGAACUUCAGUCCAGUGGGGAAAGUGACAUACAACCUGGCAAUUACAAUACGACAAGAUGAUGACAGUGAGAGGGAGAGACAGAGGAGGGGACCUAACUGGGGCCUGGGAUGGGAGAUGGCGGUGGAAGCAGCUCUGGCAUAGUGUGUGGAACACAGAAACAUGUCUUCUCCCUUGUGGCCUAUGAUGAUCCCAAGUCUAAGUUAAAUGUUGGGAAGAGAAGCUUGAGAACUUACUGGAAAUUAAGCUUUGGCUUCCCGUGAAUCACACCUAGUUUGUAACAAUCAACAAAAGUCCUUGGAAUGAGUAAAGCUUGGCUGCUAGUGCUGAAGCAGUGGGACUGCUGUGGAAACAGCUUCGGGGAGAAGCUGGGAAGCUGGCUUCUGUUCCUGCAGUGGGCCAGUGGGGAGACAAAACCAGUUGCAUCACUGUUUGAAAGGAAAACAGAUAAGAAAUUCCGGGGAUGUGAGAGAAAAGGACAGGACUUACCCAGAGCUUGUUGCCUCAAGAUUACAGGUCAACUGCUGCUGUGGUUCAGAUUUGCGUCUUACUGGGCUGCUGUAGCCUCUCAGAGGGCUGGUCCCUAAAACUCCCACCUACAGCUUAACAACCUUCUCACACUCAAGGUUUAUUUUAACCCACUAAUUCUCACCUCACUCGUCUGCUAUCAACAUGUACCUCCAAAGAGCCAGAGCACAG
rnacentral:lncRNA from 1 species